ensembl:misc_RNA Metazoa_SRP Metazoan signal recognition particle RNA
GCCGGGUGUGGUGGCGGGCGCCUGUAAUCCCAGCUACCUUGGAGGCUGAGGUGGGAGGAUCACUUGAGCCCAGGAGUUGGAGGCUUCAGUGAGCUAUGAUUAUGCCACUGCACUCCAGCCUGGGCGACAGAGUGAGACCCUGUCUGGA